AAGCCAACUUCAAGAUAAGAUUUCCCACCGUAAGGGUAAGACCCCAGGAAGACUACCUGGUUGAUAGGUCGAAGGUGUAAGUGCAGCAAUGUAUGUAGCUUAUCGAUACUAAUAGGUCGAGGACUUGACCAAG
rnacentral:rRNA from 1 species